rnacentral:misc_RNA from 1 species
CCUUAAAGAACCUGCCUUUGUAGUGCUCACACAGAUUGUCUGAUGAAAGUAAAGAAGCAAGGCGUCUUGCGAUUGAGACUUCAGUGUCCCCUUCGUCUAGAGGCCCAGGACACCGCUCUUUCACGGCGGUAACAGGGGUUCGAAUCCCCUAGGGGACGCCACUUGCUGGUUCGUGAGUGAAAGACGCGUGCCGAACUAUCUCAAAACUCAUCUUCGGGUGAUGUUUGAGAUAUUUGCUCUUUAAAAAUCUGGAUCAAGCUGAAAAUUGAAACGACACACAGUCAAUGUGUGUUCGAGUCUCUCAAAUUUUCGCAAUCAGAAGUGAAACAUCUUCGGGUUGUGA